GACUUUUAAUGUGAGAAUUGAAUCAAUCAAGUGACUACUUGAGUUCGUUUGGGUCUUACUGUGACAAUUGUUAUUCUCAGUUUACCAUAGGCUUCAAAUAACUUCUGCAAUGGGCCACCCAUAUCUUGUGCUUAGUGUGGGGCCUUGGGUGCUAGAAGGUUUUUCUCAGUGUUUUUGCUCCACCCUUAGCUUUCAACAGUCUUUGCAUGCCUGCACCACAGAAUAGGGUCCCUUUCCACAUUCUUGCCUCUCCCCCAUAGACUGUUGCUGCUCAUUACUCAAUAUGAGGCUUACCAUGUGGUCAAUAGGGUAAAUUUCAGCUUCUGUUCGUCAGUCUCUGAAUUAAGGCCAGGCAGCCAGGGAUUGAGGGGUUAAGCCUUCUCCAUGUUUCUACCACUCCCCCACCACACCCUUUGGCUGCCAAAUCCUGCCUUGUAUCUGUAGUGUAUCUUGGGAAGCUGAGAGUUUCCUGCCCCUUCCCAAGCAGUAGAAGAUUUCUGCUUUGUUUUAUUCAGAAUUUUGGAUUUUUAAAGGGGUUUGUUGGUUUGUUUCUUCACUCUGUCAGAAGCAAGAAACUCUUUCUUCUACCUUUUCUCCACAGCAAUGGUUCUUUGCCUGGCUACUGAAGUUGAAAAGAAGAGUAUCCUACCCUACCCCUAGAAGCAGAUGGGUUUUAUUUCUGUCUGUCCUGCAGAGGCCUUGGAGGGAAGAGGUGACUUUCACCUUCCACCAUGAUUGUGAAGCCUUCCCAGCCACAAGGAACUGUGAGUCCAUUAAACCUCCUUUUCUUCACAAAUUACCCAGUCUCAGGCAAAUGGUCACCAGGAGAGCUGGGAGAGUGUAUGACUAGACCCUAGCAAACACGUGACCUCUGCAGGAACAGCUCAGCAUUCAUGCCCAUUUCCUGGUGGAUCGGGAAUGUCACCUUCAAUCAAAGGUAUAGAAAAGAAGAACUUGAGGCCUUGGGAUCAACAAAGGAAAGUUCAGUUUCCUAUUUCCUCAUUCACUUAUACAGCCUUUGCCCAAUCACCUAUGCCCUGUGGAAUUCAUUUUCCUCAUCUAUAAAAUGAGAAUAAAAAUAAUUAUUCUUCUUAUUCAUGGAAUCACUUGAGGAUUACAAUGAAAUAAAAUAAUGUAUUCACAUCUAUUGUGUUUUUAAAUGUUUAAAUAUUAUAGACCUCAAAUCUUCUCAAACUGAUUCAUAAUAGAAAUUUCAUAAUAUAGGCAACCCAGAUUGACCACCUUCUCAGUCAUGGUAAUUUUCUAUAUAACACAAACAAGUAAAUAAAAAUUCUAACACGGCAUGUAAAUGUGAAUGAUUAUUAUGUAUUCAUCUUCAUCAUCUCCUUAAAGCAGCAUUAUUGAGACUUCAUCUGAGAAAUAGUAGCAUUCUUGGGAGUUUCUGUCCUAUAUAUUAAUAUAUGAGUAACUGAGGCAAGUGGGAGAGUCUGGUUAAUCCUGUUAUCCUGGUACCUGAUCAAUGACUUUAUUGUUGGGAAAUGGUGUGGUGUGGAAAAGCUAAGCUAUGCCCACUCUCAUCAUGUGAUAAAAGCUGCUUAAAUUCUUGCCUAGAUGAAAUGAUCUUUUACCAAAAAAUCCCCAAUAAAUGUCUCCCUAGCUUGAAAGUCUUUAGAAAAUAGAGUUGCUUGGUUUUAUUAUGUUAAAUAAAUAUUGUUUUAUACUUUUCCAAUAAGUUUUAACUUUAUUUUUGCACUGAAAUAUCUUAUAAUUUCCAUUUUGUGACUCCCACUAGUGAUGACUUAAGGGACACUUUAACCUGUCCAUUCAUCAUAAAAACCUAGAGUCAACCAAGUUUGACUACCUUUCCCAGCUAUGGUCGGUAAAUAUUUUCCCCUGUCAAUGGCUAGCUUAUUACUAUUGUAAAAUGAAUAAAUAAGGAAAAUAAUUAGGUGGUUCAUUUAGGCUCUUUUUGUAUUUGCUUAUUGUAAAUAAAAAUUGAAUCCAGUUUAAAUUAAGUGAUUCUUGUCAUAACCUAUUGUAGGAACAUGAAAUAAUCUAAGAAAAAGUUCCAGCCAUGCACAUCAGGAGAGCUUGUCAAAGUAAAGGGGAAACUACUUCUACAAAGAAGGAGAAAUAUUGCCUCCUCCUUUCAGGUACCAAUCUGAAAGCUGUUCUCUUUUCCAUCAAAAUUAAUGGUUGCUUUUAUAACUUCCCUCUUCCCUAAAGAGAGAAGAAAGUCAAAGAGACCUAGAAGCAAACCUUGCCUGGUUUUCCAAUAUCAGCUUACAAAGAAUGUUCUAAAGGAAAGCAAACUUUACAUUCCAGCUUUGCCUGAAUCUGUGCAAUAGUAAAUUGGUGACAGUAAUAGCUUAAGCAAUGGAAAAAUAAUGCAUGAGCCUUAUCUAAAUCUAAGUUUAGACUCAAGUCUAAACAUUGAGUAGUUAGUAACUCUCUGUAAAAUUAAUAGUAGGCUGGGGGCGGUGGCUCAUGCCUGUAAUCUCAGUACUUUGGGAGGCCAAAGAGGGCAGAUCACAAGGUCAGGAGAUCAAGACCAUCCUGACUAACACAGUGAAAGCCCAUCUAUCAGGGGAACCCACCCUCAGUAUUUCAACAUAGGUUCUUCCUGUUUUCCAUAAGUGUUGGCCAGCUGAGAAAUAAAGAGAAAGAGUACAAAGAGAGGAAUUUUACAGCUGGGCCGCUGGGGGUGACAUCACAUACCAGCAGGACCGUGAUGCCCACUAGAGCCUCAAAACCAGCAUGUUUUUUUUAAGGAUUUCAAAAGGGGAGGGGGUGUAUGAACAGGGAGUAGGUCACAAAGAUCAUAUGCUUCAAAGGGCAAAACGCAGAACAAAGAUCACAUGCUUCUGAGGAAACAGGACAAAGGGCAAAACGC
ensembl:lncRNA